GAUAUGAUUAUCUGAUUAUCCGUCUCCCUGAUCAGGCCCCCGGCGCCAUGAGGGGAGAACGGGGUCUGUUGAUGACUCAUUGCUGGAUCUAGCACUUAGUGCAGGGGCCGAGGGGCGAGCAGGACAAGAAGAGACCAUGGACCCUUCCGGCUUGGCGAGUGGCCCGUGGGAAGCACAUGGAGAGUCCUGCUCACUGGACAACUGGUUGGUGACUCCCUGACCACGACAGGAGGAGCACAGAGACCAGGGAUACCGCAGGAUAGAGCCAGAGUCAAGGGCCUUGAACGCCUGGAUGAAGGCCCAGAUCUGAGCUGGCGGCCAGAGGAAGCCACUCUGUGGAACCUAAGAGGCAACAUCUCCCACAGCCUCCCACGGCCGGGCCCCAGCCUCUGCCGGUCCCUGAGGUCUGCUCCUCGGGUCACAUGCACCUGUGUAAGCAAGAGCUUUCAUUUUCCUUGGCUGAUAGGAGCUGGCUGGGGUGAGGGAGGCUGGAUUGAUCACCAAGAUUCUCUGGUAUUAUCUCCCUCUUGCCAGUUUUACUUGGGCGCCACGGAUCUGCACGUCUAAAAGCAAAUCACAGUUGGGGAUGGGUGGGGAGGGAGAAAAGGCCAUAAAAUUAGCCUAAGCAAAAAAGAUACUGCAAAGCGAACCUCCUGCUGCUAUGGAAACAACACAAGCCAUUCCAAAGGGAGAAAGAAGUGCGCUGUAGAUGCCCGGCUGGCUGUUUCACUUCCCCUGCACUGCCAGCCCUGCUGCCCUGCACGGGGCCUGGGACACAGAAGGUGCUCAGGAAAAUGUGUUGAAUAGAGUAGAAAAUUCGGCUCUGCCCAAGCACCACCACCACCAGCAUCGCCAGCACCAGCAAACACUGUGGAGCACCAGGAACGGGAGCAAUGACCGCCUCGGUGAGGGGAUAUGGCUGGAGGGCAGAGUGCCAGGGUCAAAGGUCAAAGAAUGGAAUUCCGACUGUUGGAUGGCUGGUUUCAGGAUUCAGAGAAGGGGCCAUGGGAGUAGAAUGCCCCCUCCUGAGAGCUAAGACUGCUGGGAGAGGAGAAACAUGCAGGCCAGCACCGGGGCUACCCAGAGGCAGGCAGACGCCAUCACCUCUGCAAGUCCCUGUCAGAUUGGCUUCUGGGACGAGGACAUCCCCUUCCUCUCCUCCAGCUCUUGGGUCCAGACUAGUGUCCCUCAGCCUCAAGGCACUUAUGAAGCACGUCCUCAGUCCACACCCUGCGCUGCUUCUGGCAUGAGUGGCUCUGUGCGCGCCAGCGGUUUGAAGCCAGGCCCGUUGCCCGGGAGCCGCGGCCACACUGCCCACCUGCCCCAAGUGGACGAGCCCCAGCUCCGCGUGCACUUGCAUGUCCUCCUGAACAGCGGCCCCCAACCUCUUUGGCACCAGGAACUGGUUUCAUGGAAGACAAUUUUUCCAGGGACCGGGGUCGGGUGGC